rnacentral:rRNA from 1 species
UACAGAGGAGCCAAGCGUUGUCCGGAUUGACUGGGCGUAAAGCGCACGCAGGCGGCACCGCGCGUGGGGUGUGAAAUCUGGCCGCUUAACGGCCAGGCGCCAUCCCAUACGGCGGAGCUGGAGUGAUGCAGAGGUCGAUGGAAUUGCCGGUGUAGUGGUGAAAUGCGUAGAUAUCGGGAGGAACACCUGUGGCGAAAGCGGCGCACUGGACCACAACUGACGCUGAGGCGCGAAAGCUAGGGGAGCAAACAGG